GCGCAUGUGCACCAGUGUGCCUGUGCAUGUGUGCACCUCCACCCAGGAACUUCUCGCCCACAGACAGGAGCAACAAGGCUGCCUGCCUUUAUCUGGAGCAAUGGGGGCCCGUUGCAGGAUGGGAAGCAGAAUUGAAAACAAAGAUCAUCUGCUUUCCAUGUUCUAAAGGAGCUGUGGUAUUUGCAGAAAACUUUCUUCCCUCCCCUCAAACCCUCCUUCUCUAGUCUCUGCAGGCUGCCGAGGUGCCACAACUUUACUGUACCUUCGGGCAGCGGGCAGCGGCAAGUGGAGAAAAGUAGAGAUGUGGCUCUAUCCAAGGGUAACCACUCGAAUGACCUUUCCUCCGUGUUCUGCCCACUGAACACCUCCACUGUCUGAGUCUCAGGAAUGAGGCAGCCGCAGGUCGGCUGGUGCAGACGGACCUGAGUGAAGCUGUAUGUUGUCCAAAGUUAAGGAAGUCAAGACUCAGAGAAGCUAAUUGACUUUCCCAAACUCACACAGCAGUGAGGGCAAACCCAGGACUUGAAUCUCCCUCUUCUGACUUCAAGAACAAAAAGUUUCCCAGUACCUCCGUGACUAAAAAUAUUGGCACCCCCGUAUCAGCACCCAUGGGGCUGCCCUCAAAGCCACACAACGAAGCCUGGAGCCUGCGGCUCAAAAGCGGUGAGUCAGCCUGAGGGAGAUGAGAACGGAGCAUCCCAGAAUCCGGUUCCAACACUCCCGCUUGGCACUGACCAUCUUGACUCUGGGCAAGUCGCUUCGCCUCUCUGGAUCUCCAUUGCUCACCUGUAUAACUGGGAGGUAGAGGCGUCCCUCCCUGAAGUCCUGUUCUGUUCUCAGAUUCCUAUCCUGAGAGUUCCACAGCGCACCUACUGCGACGUGUUCUUUUUCAGAACAGUUCUGCCACCCGGAAUCUCUCGAAGCCAUGAGAGUCAAUUCCCCAUAACCGCGACGAUCAGCGCUCCCACUUCCCCAAAGCAUAUGGCACCGUGGACGCCUGCCAGGGGCUCUGGGAACGGAGGUGAGGAGUGAGUGAGCAUCAGCAUCCAGCGUGUUGGGCUUGUCCUUGUUCUCAUUGCCCAGCACCUACAGCGGGGAUGGUAGACCAUCCCUUUACCGAGGAUUUCAAGGACGUGGUCUCUGCCUUCCUGGAGUGGAUUGUUUCCGGUCCUGUCUUUGCCUCACCGCCCCGUCUCUACCACACCGUCCUGCCCUGUCUGCUUUGGGCUUUUCCGUUUCUCGGUGUCGCUCUGUAUUUAGUAUACUAAUAAA